ensembl:snRNA U1 U1 spliceosomal RNA
AUACUUACCUGGCAGGGGAGAUACAGGGUCACGAAGGUGGUUUCCCCAGGGCGUGGCUUAUCCAUUGCAUUCUGGAUGUGCUGACUCCUGCGAUUUCCCCAAAUGUGGGAAACUGCAUAAUUUAUGGUAGUGGGGGACUGGGUUCAUGCUCUCCCCUU